GACGAGGGAUCCUAGCGUUGUUCGGAAUCACUGGGCGUAAAGCGCACGUAGGCGGAUCCUUAAGUCGGGGGUGAAAUCCUGGAGCUCAACUCCAGAACUGCCUUCGAUACUGAGGAUCUCGAGUCCGGGAGAGGUGAGUGGAACUGCGAGUGUAGAGGUGAAAUUCGUAGAUAUUCGCAAGAACACCAGUGGCGAAGGCGGCUCACUGGCCCGGUACUGACGCUGAGGCGCGAAAGCGUGGGGAGCAAACAGG
rnacentral:rRNA from 1 species